AGUGAACGCUGGCGGUAGGCCUAACACAUGCAAGUCGAACGGCAGCACAGUAAGAGCUUGCUCUUACGGGUGGCGAGUGGCGGACGGGUGAGGAAUACAUCGGAAUCUACUUUUUCGUGGGGGGUAACGAAGGGAAACUAACGCUAAUACCGCAUACGACCUACGGGUGAAAGCAGGGGAUCUUCGGACCUUGCGCGAUUGAAUGAGCCGGUGUCGGAUUAGCUAGUUGGCGGGGUAAAGGCCCACCAAGGCGCCGAUCCGUAGCUGGUCUGAGAGGAUGAUCAGCCACACUGGAACUGAGACACGGUCCAGACUCCUACGGGAGGCAGCAGUGGGGAAUAUUGGACAAUGGGCGCAAGCCUGAUCCAGCCACACCGCGUGGGUGAAGAAGGCCUUCGGGUUGUAAAGCCCUUUUGUUGGGAAAGAAAAGCAGCAGGUUAAUACCCCGCUGUUCUGACGGUACCCAAAGAAUAAGCACCGGCUAACUUCGUG
rnacentral:rRNA from 1 species